UACGAAGGGGGCUAGCGUUGCUCGGAAUCACUGGGCGUAAAGGGUGCGUAGGCGGGUCUUUAAGUCAGGGGUGAAAUCCUGGAGCUCAACUCCAGAACUGCCUUUGAUACUGGAGAUCUCGAGUCCGGAAGAGGUGAGUGGAACUGCGAGUGUAGAGGUGAAAUUCGUAGAUAUUCGCAAGAACACCAGUGGCGAAGGCGGCUCACUGGUCCGGUACUGACGCUGAGGUGCGAAAGCGUGGGGAGCAAACAGG
rnacentral:rRNA from 1 species